GUGCCUAGGCGCUGUGGGAUCCGUGGGUGGAAAGGGUUUUGUUACCAUUUUUAGGGUCAUCAGCACCUUCUGACUGGGAAAAGAUGGUCAACGUCUUGAAAGGAGUGCUUAUAGAAUGAUUGGUGAAAACUUCCUGUUUGUUGGGAUCCACCUCUGUCGUUGACUGCCAGCCUCACACCAAGAGUUUCCCGAGUGGAGCCAACCACAGCAGUUACUGAAGCAAGCCACAUAUGCUCAGCACAUGUCUGCAUCUGAUUCCAGGUGCUCAAGCAGA